GAUCAUGGCUCAGAUUGAACGCUGGCGGCAUGCCUUACACAUGCAAGUCGGAACGGCAGCAUGGAGAGCUUGCUCUCUGAUGGCGAGUGGCGAACGGGUGAGUAAUACAUCGGAACGUGUCCGUUUGUGGGGGACAACCGUCCGAAAGGAUGGACUAAUACCGCAUAAGACCUGAGGGUGAAAGCCGGGGACCGCAAGGCCCGGNGCAGACGGAGCGGCCGAUGAUUGAUUAG
rnacentral:rRNA from 1 species